rnacentral:rRNA from 1 species
UACGUAGGGUGCAAGCGUUAAUCGGAAUUACUGGGCGUAAAGCGUGCGCAGGCGGUUUUGUAAGACAGAGGUGAAAUCCCCGGGCUCAACCUGGGAACUGCCUUUGUGACUGCAAGGCUUGAGUGCGGCAGAGGGGGAUGGAAUUCCGCGUGUAGCAGUGAAAUGCGUAGAGAUGUGGAGGAAUACCGAUGGCGAAGGCAGCCCCCUGGGCCAAUACUGACGCUCAUGCACGAAAGCGUGGGGAGCAAACAGG